rnacentral:rRNA from 1 species
GACGUAGGGGGCGAGCGUUGUCCGGAUUUAUUGGGCGUAAAGAGCGCGUAGGCGGCCCGUUAAGUCGGAUGUGAAAACCCGUGGCUCAACCACGGGCCUGCAUCCGAUACUGGCGGGCUCGAGGCAGGCAGGGGAGAUCGGAAUUCCUGGUGUAGCGGUGAAAUGACGCAGAUAUCAGGAGGAACACCGGCGGCGAAGGCGGCUUCCUGGACCGAUACUGACGCUGAGACGCGAAAGCGUGGGGAGCAAACAGG